rnacentral:lncRNA from 1 species
AAAUUAGAACAAGCAUUUUCUGAGGGUUUAGUAAAGUUUGCAGCAAAAGCAAAAAAGAUCUGUGGAGAAAAUGGAACUUUAAAAACUUCUUGGGAAGAGCUUGCAAAACAAACUGAGGAAGAAGCUGAUAUUCAUAGGUUGGUAUCUACUAAUUUAAUGGAAGAUAUAGUAAAGCCUUUAAAAUUGUUUGCAGAUAAUCAAAAAGAAGCUCGAA